CUGCUCCCCUGAAGAAAAACAGCCCAACCCUCUCUGUUCUCUUUGGUGGUGUUGUUUAUAGCGGUACUGGUGACAACGUAAACGGGUCUCUGUGUGGCUGCCAUUGCCACGAUCAGGUCUGGACAGGAGAAGCUGAAGCUUUCCACCCCAAAGCAAACAGUAGUGCUGCUGGGAAGCCGGCCGCACAGGCCAAGGGAGCUGCUCUCCCUGCCGCUGGACAGAUGCUCAUUCUGUGAGGCUAAAUUUAAGAGGGAUGAAAGUGUCAUGUGGCUGGAAGGGACCUUGCAAAGUGAGUCAGUGCAAGAACAACGACAUCUGCAGCAAUACUGAUGCCGUCUGUCUGUGCAGUUUUGGAAUUAUCCUCAGAGGCAGCACGCCUGGCAUGACUUUGAGACUGUGAGUCAGGAGAGAAAGCCUUCACUGAUUUGCUCUGAAUCCAAUUAUUUGGUCCAAACUGGAAGAUGAAUCACGUGUAAGAGAGUCCAGAGAAGGAGAGUCCCAUGUACAACUCAAGAGGAGGUUCACUGCCGCAUCCCCACAUCCAGGGAGGCAUCCUGACUUUGCAAACCGAACCUGUCCCGCUUGCUCUGGAAGACCGUCGUCUGGAGAGGUUGCCCGCAGACUGCCGCGCUCCUCGCGGCUCAGGGCUCUUGGCAACUGCGGUCCCAGAGGUGGCGCUCCCUGCCGGGGAGGAACCUCGGCUUCUCCCUGACCUCCGUCUUCUUUUCCCUCGCCGUCUGUCUUGGGGUCCCUCUCCCAUUUGCAUCGAGGGUCUUGUCCUGCCUACCUCAGGACGCCCCCACCCUGGGCAGGGAGAAAGCAGCGUGGCUUGGAGGAGGUAGGGGACAGACAGGCAGUGCAGGGUGGGCUGUGUUCCCGCCUCAGGCCUCACUCAUCCCAGCCUGAGCCUCCCCGGAAUCACCGAAGGCCGUAGGCUGGCAACCUUCCUCAGCUCCAGUGGCCAGUUACAUCAGCCAAUAAAUACAGGUGGAAAGAGCAGAGGUUCCUUCCUGGCCCCUUUCUAGAACCUUCCUUGAACCACACGAUUCCAAUCCGCAGCUGCAGCUGGGAGUGUGUUUCAGGGACUUCAUUUCAGACAACAGCCCCUCCUUGCUCAGCUCCAAACUGCAUUCUGCAUCUCUCUCUCUCUCUCUCUCUCUCUCUGGGUCCCUCGGUCAUCCUCUUUCCAGGCUUCAAAAAGGGGAAGGGUUUGGGAAGCAAAUCCAAACUCUGAUUUUGUGUAGGGAGAAGGCUUUCACAUGAAGAAAUAAAAGAAUAUGCAUUAAUAGCUCAGAAAACAAUGGUAAUAUUUAAUUAACCUUUUGGAAUGGCUUCUCUGCAAAUCUGCACGUGUCAGCUCGU